UACGUAGGGGGCGAGCGUUGUCCGGAGUUACUGGGCGUAAAGGGCACGCAGGCGGUGCGGCGCGUUUCGCGUGACAGCGGAGGGCUUAACUCUCCGAGGAUGCGAAAGACGGCGGCACUUGAGGGCCAGAGAGGGACACGGAAUUCCGGGUGGAGUGGUGAAAUGCGUAGAGAUCCGGAGGAACACCGAAGGCGAAGGCAGUGUCCUGGCUGGUGACUGACGCUGAGGUGCGAAAGCGUGGGGAGCCAACAGG
rnacentral:rRNA from 1 species